CACGUAGGGCGCAAGCGUUGUCCGGAAUUAUUGGGCGUAAAGAGCUCGUAGGCGGUCUGUUACGUCUGCUGUGAAAACCCAGGGCUUAACCCUGGGCUUGCAGUGGAUACGGGCAGACUAGAGGCAGGUAGGGGAGACUGGAAUUCCUGGUGUAGCGGUGAAAUGCGCAGAUAUCAGGAGGAACACCGAUGGCGAAGGCAGGUCUCUGGGCAUUAACUGACGCUGAGGAGCGAAAGCAUGGGGAGCGAACAGG
rnacentral:rRNA from 1 species